rnacentral:rRNA from 1 species
GAUGAACGCUAGCUACAGGCUUAACACAUGCAAGUCGAGGGGUAGCGGGUAGCAAUACCGCUGACGACCGGCGCACGGGUGAGUAACACGUAUCCAACCUUCCCACAACUCAGGGAUAGCCUUUCGAAAGAAAGAUUAAUACCUGAUAGUACUUAAGAGAGACAUCUUUUUUAAGUUAAAGAUUUAUCGGUUAUGGAUUGGGAUGCGUUACAUUAGAUAGUUGGUGAGGUAACGGCUCAGCAAGUCUUCGAUGGAUAGGGGUUCUGAGAGGAAGGUCCCCCACAUUGGUACUGAGACACGGACCAAACUCCUACGGGAGGCAGCAGUGAGGAAUAUUGGUCAAUGGGCGAGAGCCUGAACCAGCCAAGUAGCGUGAAGGAUGAAGGUCCUAUGGAUUGUAAACUUCUUUUAUAGUAGAAUAAAGUGAACCACGUGUGGUUUUUUGUAUGUAUACUAUGAAUAAGGAUCGGCUAACUCCGUGCCAGCAGCCGCGGUAAUAC